rnacentral:tRNA from 2 species
AGGGGAGUAGCUCAACUGGUAGAGCAUCGGUCUCCAAAACCGAGGGCUGCGGGUUCGAGUCCUGUCUCCCCUGCCA